GACGGAGGAUGCAAGUGUUAUCCGGAAUCACUGGGCGUAAAGCGUCUGUAGGUGGUCAAAUAAGUCAACUGUUAAAUCUUGAGGCUCAACCUCAAAAAUCGCAGUCGAAACUAUUCGACUAGAGUAUAGUAGGGGUAAAGGGAAUUUCCAGUGGAGCGGUGAAAUGCGUAGAGAUUGGAAAGAACACCGAUGGCGAAGGCACUUUACUGGGCUAUUACUAACACUGAGAGACGAAAGCUAGGGUAGCAAAUGGG
rnacentral:rRNA from 1 species